UCCCCGGCGGGCCGGGGGCGCGGGGCCCAGGCGAGGAUCGCGCGCCCGAGCGCUGCGGGAGGAAGAGCUGAGGCCGGGGCUCGGGAGUGCCGGAGCCGGGUCUGCGCUCCGCCUUCGGAGGAGGCGCCCAGGGCGCCCCCUUGGGAGGCAGGGGCCGUGUCCGGAGCUGGCAGAUCGCUUGCGGCGUGGCCGCCUUUGACCUUUAGCUGUCCCCGACUUAGCUGGCCGUGGUCCUUAGGAGAAUCCUAACCAGUUCACCAGCUUUUCUACGAGGUUAUGAAUUUGUGGUCGUUGACGUCUCAGUACAUUUUACUAUUUUUUUUAAAGUUGGAAUUUUUUUUUUGUUUGUUUGUACCGGGGAUCGAACUCGGGUCGUUGCGCUUGCGGGGCCCGCGGCGGAACCACUGAGCUAAAUCCCCGGCCCUUAGUACGUUUUUUGAAAGGAGUUUAAGUUACUAGACCAUUUAUUUAUUUAUUUGCUCUUCAAGAUGGCAGUUUUAAAAGUGUGUUUGGUUCGUGAGUUCUUUGCACUGGAGGUGGAAGCCGUGCCCGAGAAGGAAUUUGUGGUUAGUUGUCCUUAAAGUUUGAGACGAUGCCUUGGUGGACAGGUAGUGAAAUCUUGUUAAGGACUUUUGAGUGAUUCCUGGUAACCAGUUGUGCUAACCGCUUUGGGUGCAUCUCAGACGCCUCUGAUUUUCACAGCAACCUCAGUGAAUAACUCAGGGUUGUGAAGAGAGGCCUCCUGGGGUCUGUGAUGCUUGUCUUCUCCAGUGGUAGAUGACAUCCUUGAACGACAUUAUUCCCGCAGAAUAAAGACAAGAAUGUGAGGGUCUUACUUAUGUAGCUCAGACUGGCCUCGAACUCAGCAGUGAUCCUUCUAGCUCAGCUUCCCCUGCCCCUCAGCGCUGGAUUACAGGGUUUUGCUAUGUAGUUCAGGCUGGCCUUGAACUCAUUAUUUAGCCCAGUUUGACCUUGAACUCCAGCAGUCCUCCUGCCUCAGCCUCCCAAGUGCUGAGAUCACAGGUGUGCAUCACCACACGUGGCUUAUUUUUUAUUUUGAAACAGGGUCUUGCUAAGUUGCUCAAGCUGUGAUCCUCCACCUGAGUCCUAAGUAGCAGUGAUUACAGGUGUAUGCCACUAUGUCAGGCUAAAAAAUUUUUUUCUUAAUUACUGGGAAAUGCAACCAGCUGGCAUUUGGUUCUGUAGAAUCUUAUAGUUUUAAAGCUGAAAAUUAAAAAAAAAACCCUUAUUUCAAAGUUCAUAUUGUUGAUUUAAUCUAGAGUAGAAAUGCAAUCCUUUUUUUUUUUUGGUACCAGAGAUCGAACUCUGAGUCCAUGCGCUUGCGCAGCAGGUGGGGAAACCACUAGCUAAAUCCCCGGCCCAGAAAUGCAAUCCUUUGACAAAAACCAAUCUUAAAUUACUAUUAGUUGUAUUUACAGUAUUCCACCUCAACUUCUGGAAGCAUUUUAGUUGGGCAUUUCAUGGUCUUAUAGCUUGGGACAUCAAUUUGGGAUUGAAUCCUCCUCCUGGCCUGGAGGAAAGAGCUAAGUGAAAAAGCUGGUACCCUCCCCCUCAAUCUGAAGCCUUACUGUGAAGUAGAAUUUCAUAAAUUCAUUAAUAAUUAGUAAAUUUCACUCAGAACUAUUUUGUGGCCAGUUUUAUAGUUUUGGAAAGAGGCACACUUUCUGUCGCUUAAAAAAUUAAACUGGGGGGCCGGGGAUUUAGCUCAGUGGUUUCCCUGCCUGUUGCGCAAGCUCAAGGACCCGAGUUCGAUCCCUGGUACCCCCCCCCCCAAAAAAAUUAAACUCGGGGCUGGGAGUGCAGCUGGUAAGGGAAGUAGAGGGGAUGAGCCUGCAUGUGGCCUUGGUUUCAAUCCCUGGCACCAAAAACAAAACAAAUGAACAUAGAGCAUGAUAUCACUGCCAGAAACCUAAAUUUAGGUGUUUUUUUCUUCUUGGUACCUGGGAUUGAACUCUGAACCUUGUGCCUGUGAGGCAGGCAUUGGAACCAUUGAGCUAAAUCCCUGGCUCAGGUGUUUUUUUUUUUUUUUCCCCAGUUUUUUUCAACAAGGUCUUGCUCUGUAGUCCAGGCUGGUGUGGAACUCACCAUGUAGCCCAGGCUGGCCUCAAACUCAAGACAAUAUUCCUGCCUCAGCCUCCUGUAUGCUGAGAUUAUAGGUGUGUGCCACCACACCUGGCUAGAAACCUAAAAUGUAAUGUGAGAGAACUUUGCCUCUUUGUCUGAAAAUUGGUUUCUGAGUUUGAAGUCCUUGACAGAGGAAGACUAGCUUAAUCUUUAAUUCCUUAAAGAAAGUAAAUAUGUUAGUUUACAUUUCUUUUCUAUAACUUUAAUAAUUUGAAGUUCCUAUUUUAGGGAAAGUAAUAGCCUACUGUAACUGUAUAACUGCACUCUCUAGGGGCCUCCUUGAACAUAUGCAUGUAUGUUUAGAAGUUAUUUGGUUCUCCCCUCCCAAACCAAAUAGCUAGAAGUUAGUUAAAAGUUGUAAAUUGAGAGUCAGUCCCAAUUGAAUGGUUUUAAACUUAUGUAAAUAAAUUGUGAUUUAUAAAAAUAUUUUAAGGAAAAUGCAUCUGUGUCAAGUUAGACACAUUGUAAAUAGUUACUGAAACAAUAAGUUUUAUAAGUGGCCAGGGUUUAGCUUAGUGGUUUCGGCGCCUGCCGUGCAGGUGCAAGGUCUGAGUUCGAUCUUUCGUACCAAAAAAAAAAAGUUUUAUAAGUGAUAUUUAUGAUUUAUUUAUUAACAGGGUCUUGCUAUGUAGUUCAGGCUGGCUCCUGAACUCACUAUUGUAGCUUGGGGUGAUCUCAAACUUACGGCAAUUCUCCUGCCUCAGCCUCCAAGUGCUGGGAUGAUAUCGGCUUGUACCAGCAUGUCAGGCUUGUGAGUUUUAAAAAUCCUUCCAUUGGGCCGGGGAUUUAACUCAGUGGUUUUGCCGCCUGCUGUGCCAGCGCAAGGACCCGAGUUCGAUCCCCGGUACCAAAAAAAAAAUCCUUCCAUAUUAGGGUCUGUACCUUAAAUUUUCUCUUAUCUGAAUUCUGCUACAACAUUUGAAAUGAUAUAUUAGAUACUGGUUUGACAACCAAUAUUUGAGCUUUUCCCAUGUGCAGACAUGGUUUUUAUCUUACAAGGAAGUGGAACCUGACACCUGCAUUGAGACAAAAGUAACAAUAAAAAGCCUUUUAAGUACAAUAUUAACUCCCAGGAUCUUGGAAUAGGUGGUGAACCACUGACCUCACCUUAGGAGGGAAGGUUUUUAACUUUCAAACCUUUAAAUAUGUUUCAAAAGCCCACUUCUUCAGAUGAGAUAGGAAAGGAAAAAAACCAAGUUUUGUAACCAAGACAGAUUUUAUAACCAGUGAGACACUCCAGGUGUGGUGUCAUUAAGUAACGUUGUAGCCAUAUUUGUUGAGGGGAGGUGGACAGAUUAAAAAGUUAAAGUAAUCUGAA